rnacentral:lncRNA from 1 species
CUGAACUAUAUUUAAAUCUCAAAGGAUGGACAUCUCACAACCUUCCUACAGCAAGUACUGUGAGAAAAGAUACUAGCGCCAGUCUGGCAGGGGCCUUUUCUAGUCUCAAGCACGCUGAGCAGUCCUACACCUUGCCUUCUGAGAGAGAAGAGGACAGUCCUCAGCCUCCUGAAGCCUGGCAAGGGUGCCUUAGUGAGGACAUCACCUGCAACUCCCAGAUGGAUAGACGAGGCCAUGGAGAGAGGAGAACACCAACCCAUGAGUGACAAGUGCCUGUCAUUGUCAAUGAUGCUGCAAGCACCACGAUGCCCCUUCUUAGCAGGGACCCAGUGGGCCUUACCAGCUUCAUUAUUUUCUAGGCAUGAUCGCAUCCUGUCUCCCAUUUUUGCUAAAAUUCUAUCUAGAGAAAGAGCUCAUUUUUAGCU